AUUGAACGCUGGCGGCAGGCCUAACACAUGCAAGUCGAGCGAGCGGCGGACGGGUGAGGAAUGCCUGGGCAUUGACCUGUCGAGGGGGAUAACAGGUGGAAACGACUGCUAAUACCGCAUACGGUUGGAUUCCACAGGUGGGGUUAGCUAGUUGGUGAGGUAAUGGCAAACCAAGGCGACGAUCACUAGCUGGUCUGAGGGGAUGUGCAGCCACACUGGAACGGAGACACGGUCCAGACUCCAACGGGAGGCAGCAGUGGGGAAUAUUGCAAAAUGGGGGAAACCCGGAUGCAGCCAUGCCGCGUGUGUGAAGAAGGCCUUCGUGUUGUAAAGCACUUUAAGCGAGGAGGCGUUACUCGCAGAAGAAGCACCGGCUAACUCCGUGCGAGCAGCCGCGGUAAUAC
rnacentral:rRNA from 1 species